UACGGCGGGUGCAAGCGUUGUUCGGAAUUACUGGGCGUAAAGAGCGUGUAGGCGGUCGAUCAAGUCCGGUGUGAAAGCCCGGGGCUUACCCCCGGAAGUGCGCUGGAAACUGGUCGACUAGAGUAUGGGAGAGGGAAGUGGAAUUCCUGGUGUAGCGGUGAAAUGCGUAGAUAUCAGGAGGAACACCGGCGGCGAAGGCGGCUUCCUGGACCAAUACUGACGCUGAGACGCGAAAGAGUGGGGAGCAAACAGG
rnacentral:rRNA from 1 species